CAAAGUGGCUCACGCCUGUAAUCCCAACACUUUGGGAGGCUGAGGCGGGUGGAUUACAAGGUCAGGAGAUCGAAACUAUCCUGGCCAAUAUGGUGAAACCCCAUCUCUACUGAAAAUACAAAAAUUAGCCAGGAGUGGCGGCAUGUGCCUAUGGUCCUAGCUACUAAUGAGGCUGAAGCAAGAGAAUCGCUUGAACCUGGGAGGCAGAUGUUGCAGUGAGCCAAGAUUACACCACUGCACUCCAGCCUGGGUGACAGAGCGAGACUCCGUCUCAUAAAACAAAAAACAACCUAUCAGAUGGCGGAGGGUAGGAGGAGGGAGAGGAUGAGGAAAAACAAUUAAUGGAUACUAGGCAUAAUACCCGGGUGAUGAAAUAAUCUGUAAACAAAUCCCUGUGAUCCAAGUUUACCUAUAUAACAGACCUGCACAUCUACCCCUGAACUUAAAAUAAAAGUUCAAAAGAAGAAGAACUUUUAUUCAUUGCUGGUGGAAUUUCAAAAUGAUGCAGCCACUUUGGAAGACAGUUCGGUGAUUUCUUAUAAAACUAAACAUACUCUAACAAUACAAUCCAGCCAUUGCACCCCUUGAUAUUUACCAAAAGCAGUUGAAAACUUAUGCUCACAUCAAAGCCUGCACAUGAAUGUUUAUAGCAUCAUAAUUGCCAAAAUUUGAAAGCAACCAAGAUGUCUUUCUGUAGGUGAGUGGAUAAAUAAGCUGUAGUACAUCCAGACAAUAAAUAUUAAUCAAUGCUAAAAAAGUUCGUUUCUGUUUUUAUAAAAGUGGGCCAAACGAACAAAUGAAAAAGGAAAUGAGCUAUCGAACUAUGAAAAAGCGUAGAAGAAACGUAAAUGCAUAUCACUGAGUGAAAGAAGACAAUGUGGAAAGCUUUUAUAUUGUAUGACUCCAACUAUAUGACAUUUUGAAAGGCAAAACUAUAAGACAGUGGUUGCUAGAUCACUGAAAAGAUCAUUGGUUGCUAGGGGUUGGGGAAAGGGAUGAAUAGACAAAGCACAGAAGAUUUUUAACGCAAUGAAAACAACCAGUAUGCUAGCAUCGUGGUGGAUAUAUGUUAUAAAACAUUUGU
rnacentral:lncRNA from 1 species